GACGAACGCUGGCGGCGUGCUUAACACAUGCAAGUCGAACGGAAAGGCCCUGCUUUUGUGGGGUGCUCGAGUGGCGAACGGGUGAGUAACACGUGAGUAACCUGCCCUUGACUUUGGGAUAACUUCAGGAAACUGGGGCUAAUACCGGAUAGGAGCUCCUGCUGCAUGGUGGGGGUUGGAAAGUUUCGGCGGUUGGGGAUGGACUCGCGGCUUAUCAGCUUGUUGGUGGGGUAGUGGCUUACCAAGGCUUUGACGGGUAGCCGGCCUGAGAGGGUGACCGGCCACAUUGGGACUGAGAUACGGCCCAGUCUCCUACGGUAGGCAGCAGUGGGGAAUAUUGCACAAUGGGCGGAAGCCUGAUGCAGCAACGCCGCGUGCGGGAUGACGGCCUUCGGGUUGUAAACCGCUUUCGCCUGUGACGAAGCGUGAGUGACGGUAAUGGGUAAAGAAGCACCGGCUAACUACGUG
rnacentral:rRNA from 1 species